rnacentral:ncRNA from 1 species
UGGAGUUUAGAGGCUGUAGGAUUUUAUAAAAUGUGUAGCAAUUUUCGCACACGAUGUGAGAAAAAGGCGCAUUCGAGCCAUGGAUGGCGAGUAUGCGCCGGUUGCGGACGGUGACUGUAACGCGGAUAAAAUCCGUACAGCGUCUUAA